AAUUUUGUUCCCACUGUUCUCAGGAAGUGUUGCCAAGGAGAACAGAUGAGAAUCAGAAUCAUGGACAGUUUUUAUCCAGAUCUCCCUGCUAGUUCCAUCUCAGAUGGCUGGUCAUAUUAAAGACUAAAAUGAGUUGUUAUAAUGUGACCUUUAAAUUACACAAUCUUUUGAUUUAAAAAAAUAUAUUAUUUACUCAAAUGGCAGCAGGGACCUUAAAGCCCACUGCUACUUAACAGCAUUUUCUACUAAAGACAAUUUUCUGUCCUGGCGGGAAAAAAACCAUGAAUGAACCAGCAACUGGAGUGACCAAUGAAACCACAUGAGUGUGACUAAAACAGAAAACUAGAUAAAGGAUAAAAACGCAAGUACUAAGUGUCACAGACUGCUCUCAUUAUCAUCAAGAUAUCAGGUUUUCUAGAAGCUUUGUUUUUAGAAUCAAGUCCUUACUGUCAUGAUUAAAUGAAGAUGAUGAGCCAUGGGUAAAGAUGGACUAAAGAAAAUUUCAGGAAGUUUAAACUUUUUCAUAAUUAUUGUGAAGACUGAACAAGACAAUGAACACAACAUAUUUAGUACACUACCUAGCAAAGUGUUAAUGUUGGAUGGAAUAUAACAAAGGCCAAUUACAAAUUGAAAACAAGUUUUAAAUGUGUAAACUUAAAACUCUAGCAUCAAGAAGGAAAGAGCUUGAACCUCACUGAACACUGGAAUUCAGACAAGAGGUGAUGAGUGUGAUAUAUUUCAGAGCAGGGGUGAAAAGCAAAUGGUCCCUAUUCAGGGAGUACAAACUCUGAGAGUAUUUGGAAAGAAAAGUGUGGGGCUGAGCUUUGCACCACCAAAGCCCAACCAAGUUUCCUCUUUGCCCACUCCCUCAGCCAUGAGGCCAGAGAGAGAAGAGGCUGGACGUCAAAGAAUGGUGAAAAAAACUGAAGAAGCUGUCAAGAUAUCACCAAUAAAAACAGAACAGAAAGUUUGAAAAUCCAAGGUGUAGAAAAUGAAUUCAACUUGUUUCGAAUGAGCCUAAAAGAUAGAGCCAAAAUCAGCAGGUGAAAGUUUCAGAAAGACCAGGCACUGUUAAAAUCAAGGAGGAUCUCAAUAACCAUGGGUCUGCAAAGGAAAAGGACAACACAAUGAGCUCCCUCUGAAGGUACCCUUGCAACAGGCU
rnacentral:lncRNA from 1 species